GUUCGCAUAAUGAUGUGAAGCAACUUCCUUCGCACGUUCCAAACCUUUUACAUGACGUUGGCACUUGAUUGGUUCGUCCAAUAGGUUUGGUCUUAAUAAUAAUAACUUCAAUCGGUCUUUUGCAAAGAAUAUCGGGCGCAACACCAUUGGUUAAGAAAAGAAAAUAAGGUAACUUUUGUUGCAAGAUUUGAAGUCUUUUACUCAUUUCUUAGUUUGAGGUAUUCUCUGUUUGAUUCAUUAUGCUUUCUUUAAAGCAUAGAUCAAUCAUACUGCUGGUUAUUUUGCUCAUACCUUUUUGAUAUUCUAAAUAUUUUAUAAUUGCGCAUAGAGGCCAUCUGGCUCUCAAGAACAAAGCUGGAAGCAUCGAUCAGCAAAGUAGCAAAGUAAUGACCUUUUCCGAAACCAAAACCAUCAAAUACAGUGGGAGGCCUUCUCCUACAUUACACCUACAGUCUGGCUCCAUGUUAUUUUGGUCCUUUUUCGAGCACAUAGUUCAUGUGCGCCACUGUGUCUCCGUCUCCAUGUUUCAGUCUCUGUCCCUCUUAACAGAAUCCACAGGAGAGUAAUAUAUAUGUACCAGAGUUACAGAAAGGAGAGUAGUACUAGCACUACUGAGCGGUUAAGAGAUGAAGCAAUACCUGAACUUGGUAGAAGGUAUAGCGAUGGUGUCGGGUUUGAUGGUGUUGGUGGGUCUGAUAUGUUGCUGCCUCAGCACCAACCCCAGCCAACGCGGCAGUUUACGCGCCGGAAAUGCCAGCUGCAGCUGCGAUGGUGGCUAUGCCGGUGUUUGAUCAUUAUGGAAGUUCUUAUUUGAUACACUGUUAGCCCCCAGCUUGCUUUCUUCUUACUCUUCUCUUAAUUUAAACAUGAUAUAUAUAGAGCUUCUCGUUGCUUGAUACUCAAGCAUAUCUUGUAAUCAGUUGAUACUCGACACUGUAAUGUUUAGCCUCAUGGAGGUAUGGCCUUAUUUGAUCUUAUGUGACAGGAUGGUUAAUUUUGGAGUACGUAUAUAUAAUUAUUGAUGCCACUAUGUAGAAAUACGUAGAGUAUUACAUUUACACCCUACUCGAUCUUCUGCAUUCCCAGUUUUUGUGAUUGGUGCUUAGGUUAUGGCUCUUACCCUUCCCGGUUUACAUAAUCUUUCUCUCAAAUCAUCUUUCCGACUCCAACAUCAUAUAUUUAGGAAAAUUUCAGCGUUCCAUUUUUGAGCUUCAACUGAUUUGUUUGCCGGAAUUGCCUCUCAAAUAGUCCAUCUUCCUAUCUAGUGCU
rnacentral:lncRNA from 1 species